GACGGAGGAUGCAAGCGUUAUCCGGAAUGAUUGGGCGUAAAGCGUCCGCAGGUGGCAGUUCAAGUCUGCUGUCAAAGACCGGGGCUUAACUUCGGAAAGGCAGUGGAAACUGAACAGCUAGAGUAUGGUAGGGGCAGAGGGAAUUCCUGGUGUAGCGGUGAAAUGCGUAGAGAUCAGGAAGAACAUCGGUGGCGAAGGCGCUCUGCUGGACCAUAACUGACACUCAGGGACGAAAGCGAGGGGAGCGAAUGGG
rnacentral:rRNA from 1 species